rnacentral:rRNA from 1 species
GGUGAACGCUGGCGGCGUGCCUAAUACAUGCAAGUCGAGCGAACAGACGAGGAGCUUGCUCCUUCGACGUUAGCGGCGGACGGGUGAGUAACACGUAGGUAACCUACCUAUAAGACUGGGAUAACUUCGGGAAACCGGAGCUAAUACCGGAUAAUAUUUCGAACCGCAUGGUUCGAUAGUGAAAGAUGGCUUUGCUAUCACUUAUAGAUGGACCUGCGCCGUAUUAGCUAGUUGGUAAGGUAACGGCUUACCAAGGCAACGAUACGUAGCCGACCUGAGAGGGUGAUCGGCCACACUGGAACUGAGACACGGUCCAGACUCCUACGGGAGGCAGAAGUAGGGAAUCUUCCGCAAUGGGCGAAAGCCUGACGGAGCAACGCCGCGUGAGUGAUGAAGGUCUUCGGAUCGUAAAACUCUGUUAUUAGGGAAGAACAAACGUGUAAGUAACUGUGCACGUCUUGACGGUACCUAAUCAGAAAGCCACGGCUAACUACGUG